rnacentral:rRNA from 1 species
UACAGAGGGUGCAAACGUUGCUCGGAAUCACUGGGCGUAAAGGGCGUGUAGGCGGGAAUGUAAGUCGGGCGUGAAAUCCCCAGGCUCAACCUGGGAACUGCACUCGAAACUGCGUUUCUUGAGUAUCGGAGAGGAAAGCGGAAUACCUGGUGUAGAGGUGAAAUUCGUAGAUAUCAGGUGGAACACCAGUGGCGAAGGCGGCUUUCUGGACGAUUACUGACGCUGAGACGCGAAAGCGUGGGGAGCAAACAGG